GGAGAAGGAGGCGGCGCCCUGAGCAGAUGGCGCUAAAAAAGACCCAAGAUCCCGCCGCUCGCGCUCAUAUACAAUUAGCGUCAGCACGCUCUUAUCAGGGUUCCAGGUCUCUACUCCCUCCUGAAGUACUCAUCCCCAAGCCUGACAUACAUCUUCUCCUCAAAGGGCCCCUUUUGCUUUUGUGGCACUGCAAUCAAAUUCCAAAUAUGAAGAGAUGAAUGGAAUCGAUCAAAGAAAAAGUUCAUUUCAUAGUACUGUUGAAGGGAAAACCCACAGGGUGAAACAACUGUUUGAGGAGAGAUUCACAAGUUUAGAUCAGGCAUCGAAAUUACCCUAUUACCUGUGAGACUCUGGGAAAAGUAUGUAUUGUAUAGUACAAAGAACCCUGGAUUUUGAGUCAGAGAAUUUGGGUUCAAAUCCUGGAUCUGCCUUUAAGUUGAGGCAAAUCUCUUAUCCUGUCUGGGCUUCCGUUCCAUCCCACGUAAAAUUAAGGAGUUGGAUUAAAUGUCCUCUGUAGUGCAUUUCAGCUUUAAAUAUUUCAUCUUAUGAACCUGUCUGGGAAGUUUUCUCAUCCAUGUGGUAAAGGAGGGAGUGAAUUGGAGGGUUGGACCAGAUGGCCCUAAAAUUCCUUCCAGCAUUAAACCUAUAUUCCUAAAUAAA